AACGAACGCUGGCGGCAUGCCUAACACAUGCAAGUCGAACGAGACCUUCGGGUCUAGUGGCGCACGGGUGCGUAACGCGUGGGAACCUGCCCUUAGGUUCGGAAUAACUCCCCGAAAGGGGUGCUAAUACCGGAUAAUGUCUUCGGACCAAAGAUUUAUCGCCUUUGGAUGGGCCCGCGUUGGAUUAGCUAGUUGGUAGGGUAAAAGCCUACCAAGGCGACGAUCCAUAGCUGGUCUGAGAGGAUGAUCAGCCACACUGGGACUGAGACACGGCCCAGAAUCCUACGGGAGGCAGCCAUGGGGAAUAUUUGAAAAUGGGCGAAAGCCUGAUCCAGCAAUGCCGCGUGAGUGAUGAAGGCCUUAGGGUUGUAAAGCUCUUUUACCCGGGAUGAUAAUGACAGUACCGGGAGAAUAAGCUCCGGCUAACUCCGUG
rnacentral:rRNA from 1 species